GACGAACGCUGGCGGCGUGCUUAGCACAUGCAAGUCGAACGGACAGACAGAGAGCUUGCUCUCUUGAAGUUAGUGGCGAACGGGUGAGUAACGCGUAAUCAACCUGCCCUUCAGAGGGGGAUAACAACGGGAAACCGUUGCUAAUACCGCGUACGAUUCAUGAACGGCAUCGUUUAUGAAUGAAAGGUGGCCUCUAUGUAUAAGCUAUCGCUGAAGGCGGGGAUUGGGUCUGAUUAGCUAGUUGGAGGGGUAACGGCCAACCAAGGCAAUGAUCAGUAGCCGGUCUGAGAGGAUGAACGGCCACAUUGGGACUGAGACACGGCCCAAACUCCUACGGGAGGCAGCAGUGGGGAAUCUUCCGCAAUGGACGAAAGUCUGACGGAGCAACGCCGCGUGAGUGAUGAAGGUCUUCGGAUUGUAAAGCUCUGUUAAUCGGGACGAAAGAGUUCUGCGUGAAUAAUGCAGAAAAGUGACGGUACCGGAAUAGAAAGCCACGGCUAACUACGUGCCAGCCGCCGCCGUAA
rnacentral:rRNA from 1 species